CCCUUAGAUGUUCUGGGCAGCACGCGCGCUACAAUGGUCUUCGCAAACGGAUGCAUUCUCGAAGGAGAAUGCCAAUCUUGGAAUCUAUGCCUUGGUCGGGACAGUUGCUUGCAAUUUUUCGACUCGAACCAGGAAUUCCUUGUAAUCGUGAUUCAUCACAUCACGAUGAAUACGUCCCUGCCCUUUGUACACACCGCCCGUCGCUCCUACCGAUCGAAGAGUUAGGUGAAUUGUUUUGAUCGAUAAGAUUUGACUAUGGUCAACUCUCGUUGUGAAAUUCUGUGAAUCUGACUGUUUAGAGGAAGAAAAAGUCGUAACA
rnacentral:rRNA from 1 species